GGGUUGUGAGGUUAAGCGACUAAGCGUACACGGUGGAUGCCCUGGCAGUCAGAGGCGAUGAAGGACGUGCUAAUCUGCGAUAAGCGUCGGUAAGGUGAUAUGAACCGUUAUAACCGGCGAUUUCCGAAUGGGGAAACCCAGUGUGAUUCGUCACACUAUCAUUACGUGAAUACAUAGCGUAAUGAAGCGAACCGGGGGAACUGAAACAUCUAAGUACCCCGAGGAAAAGAAAUCAACCGAGAUUCCCCCAGUAGCGGCGAGCGAACGGGGAGCAGCCCAGAGUCUGAAUCAGCUUGUGUGUUAGUGGAACGGUCUGGAAAGUCCGACGGUACAGGGUGAUAGUCCCGUACACCAAAAUGCACAGGUUGUGAACUCGAAGAGUAGGGCGGGACACGUGGUAUCCUGUCUGAAUAUGGGGGGACCAUCCUCCAAGGCUAAAUACUCCUGACUGACCGAUAGUGAACCAGUACCGUGAGGGAAAGGCGAAAAGAACCCCGGCGAGGGGAGUGAAAAAGAACCUGAAACCGUGUACGUACAAGCAGUGGGAGCAUCCUUUUGGGUGUGACUGCGUACCUUUUGUAUAAUGGGUCAGCGACUUAUAUUCUGUAGCAAGGUUAACCGUAUAGGGGAGCCGAAGGGAAACCGAGUCUUAACUGGGCGUUAAGUUGCAGGGUAUAGACCCGAAACCCGGUGAUCUAGCCAUGGGCAGGUUGAAGGUUGGGUAACACUAACUGGAGGACCGAACCGACUAAUGUUGAAAAAUUAGCGGAUGACUUGUGGCUGGGGGUGAAAGGCCAAUCAAACCGGGAGAUAGCUGGUUCUCCCCGAAAGCUAUUUAGGUAGCGCCUCGUGAACUCAUCUUCGGGGGUAGAGCACUGUUUCGGCUAGGGGGUCAUCCCGACUUACCAACCCGAUGCAAACUGCGAAUACCGAAGAAUGUUAUCACGGGAGACACACGGCGGGUGCUAACGUCCGUCGUGAAGAGGGAAACAACCCAGACCGCCAGCUAAGGUCCCAAAGUCAUGGUUAAGUGGGAAACGAUGUGGGAAGGCACAGACAGCCAGGAUGUUGGCUUAGAAGCAGCCAUCAUUUAAAGAAAGCGUAAUAGCUCACUGGUCGAGUCGGCCUGCGCGGAAGAUGUAACGGGGCUAAACCAUGCACCGAAGCUGCGGCAGCGACACUAUGUGUUGUUGGGUAGGGGAGCGUUCUGUAAGCCGUUGAAGGUGUAUCGUGAGGUAUGCUGGAGGUAUCAGAAGUGCGAAUGCUGACAUAAGUAACGAUAAUGCGGGUGAAAAACCCGCACGCCGGAAGACCAAGGGUUCCUGUCCAACGUUAAUCGGGGCAGGGUGAGUCGACCCCUAAGGCGAGGCCGAAAGGCGUAGUCGAUGGGAAACAGGUUAAUAUUCCUGUACUUGGUGUUACUGCGAAGGGGGGACGGAGAAGGCUAUGUUAGCCGGGCGACGGUUGUCCCGGUUUAAGCAUGUAGGCGGAGGUUCCAGGUAAAUCCGGUACCUUUUUAACGCUGAGGUGUGAUGACGAGGCACUACGGUGCUGAAGUAACAAAUGCCCUGCUUCCAGGAAAAGCCUCUAAGCAUCAGGUAACACGAAAUCGUACCCCAAACCGACACAGGUGGUCAGGUAGAGAAUACCAAGGCGCUUGAGAGAACUCGGGUGAAGGAACUAGGCAAAAUGGUGCCGUAACUUCGGGAGAAGGCACGCUGAUAUGUAGGUGAAGUGAUUUACUCAUGGAGCUGAAAUCAGUCGAAGAUACCAGCUGGCUGCAACUGUUUAUUAAAAACACAGCACUGUGCAAACACGAAAGUGGACGUAUACGGUGUGACGCCUGCCCGGUGCCGGAAGGUUAAUUGAUGGGGUUAUCCGUAAGGAGAAGCUCUUGAUCGAAGCCCCGGUAAACGGCGGCCGUAACUAUAACGGUCCUAAGGUAGCGAAAUUCCUUGUCGGGUAAGUUCCGACCUGCACGAAUGGCGUAAUGAUGGCCAGGCUGUCUCCACCCGAGACUCAGUGAAAUUGAACUCGCUGUGAAGAUGCAGUGUACCCGCGGCAAGACGGAAAGACCCCGUGAACCUUUACUAUAGCUUGACACUGAACACUGGUCCUUGAUGUGUAGGAUAGGUGGGAGGCUUUGAAGUGUGGACGCCAGUCUGCAUGGAGCCAUCCUUGAAAUACCACCCUUUAAUGGCUGGUGUUCUAACGUGGACCCGUAAUCCGGGUUGCGGACAGUGUCUGGUGGGUAGUUUGACUGGGGCGGUCUCCUCCUAAAGAGUAACGGAGGAGCACGAAGGUUAGCUAAUCCUGGUCGGACAUCAGGAGGUUAGUGCAAAGGCAUAAGCUAGCUUGACUGCGAGAGUGACGGCUCGAGCAGGUGCGAAAGCAGGUCUUAGUGAUCCGGUGGUUCUGAAUGGAAGGGCCAUCGCUCAACGGAUAAAAGGUACUCCGGGGAUAACAGGCUGAUACCGCCCAAGAGUUCAUAUCGACGGCGGUGUUUGGCACCUCGAUGUCGGCUCAUCACAUCCUGGGGCUGAAGUAGGUCCCAAGGGUAUGGCUGUUCGCCAUUUAAAGUGGUACGCGAGCUGGGUUUAGAACGUCGUGAGACAGUUCGGUCCCUAUCUGCCGUGGGCGCUGGAGAAUUGAGGGGGGCUGCUCCUAGUACGAGAGGACCGGAGUGGACGCAUCACUGGUGUUCGGGUUGUCAUGCCAAUGGCAUUGCCCGGUAGCUAAAUGCGGAAGAGAUAAGUGCUGAAAGCAUCUAAGCACGAAACUUGCCCCGAGAUGAGUUCUCCCUGAGACUUUAAGUCUCCUGAAGGAACGUUGAAGACGACGACGUUGAUAGGUCGGGUGUGUAAGCGUAGCGAUACGUUGAGCUAACCGAUACUAAUGAACCGUGAGGCUUAACCUUACAACGCCGAAG
rnacentral:rRNA from 1 species